rnacentral:rRNA from 1 species
AUUGAACGCUGGCGGCAGGCCUAACACAUGCAAGUCGAACGAUUGGCGGACGGGUGAGUAAUGUCUGGGAAACUGCCUGAUUGAUGGGGAUAACUACUGGAAACGGUAGCUAAUACCGCAUACCAUCGGAUGUGCCCAUAUGGGCUGAGCUAUUAGGUGGGGGAAAGGCUGACCUAGGCGACGAUCCCUAGCUGGUCUGAGAGGAUGACCAGCCACACUGGAACUGAGAAACGGUCCAGACUCCUACGGGAGGCAGCAGGGGGGAAUAUUGAACAAUGGGCGCAAGCCUGAUGCAGCCAUGCCGCGUGUGUGAAGAAGGCCUUCGGGUUGUAAAGUACUUUCAGCGGGGAGGCGUUACCCGCAGAAGAAGCACAGGCUAACUCCGUGCCAGCAGCCGCGGUAAUAC